rnacentral:rRNA from 1 species
UACGAAGGGGGCUAGCGUUGCUCGGAAUCACUGGGCGUAAAGCGCACGUAGGCGGCUUUCUAAGUCAGGGGUGAAAUCCUGGAGCUCAACUCCAGAACUGCCUUUGAUACUGGAGAGCUUGAGUCCGGAAGAGGUGAGUGGAACUCCGAGUGUAGAGGUGAAAUUCGUAGAUAUUCGGAAGAACACCAGUGGCGAAGGCGGCUCACUGGUCCGGUACUGGACGCUGAUGUGCGAAAGCGUGGGGAGCAAACAGGGAUUAA